GGCAGGGAGGCGGAGCUUGCAGUAAGCUGAGAUGGUGCCACUGCACUCCAGCCUGGGCAACAAAGCGAGACUCUGUCUCAAAAAAAAAAUUGUGAAGGCUUCUCUGAUUUUUUUUUCCAACAGUUGUUCUGAAUCUUUAGCAUGUCCAGUAAUUUUUUAAUAACUUUUUAUUAUUGUAGUAAAAACAUAAAAUUAAUGAUCUUAACCAUAUUUAAGUGUACAAUAGUGUCAAUAUUCAAACAUAUUAUUCAAAAAAUAAUCAAAAUAUAAAAGCAUUUUAGUGCGAUAGUAUUUAUUGGAGUAUGUAUAGCAGCUACUCCAGCCACAGUUUUCUUUCUCUGUAACACUCAAUGAUUCCUGAAGUAGAAAGAUUCCCAGUACAUAUGUUUAAAUGAAUGCUAUUUUUAAAGAUACCUAAUCCAGAUGGUAUGGCUAGGGCCUAUUUUAUAGCCUGUUUAAAAAAAUAAAAUAAAAUAAAAUUGGGUGGUUUGUAUGUGGUAGAAGUGAAUUCCAGCAAAAGGAGAAUUCAUUCAUUUAGACCUUUUUUUUUGUUUGAGACGGAGUCUCACUCUCACCAGCUGGAGUGCAGUGGCGCAAUCUCAGCUCACUGCAAGCUCCACCUCCCGGGUUCACGCCAUUCUCCUGCCUCAGCCUCCCAAGUAGCUGGGACUACAGGCGCCCACCACCACGCCCGGCUAAUAUUUUGUAUUUUUAGUAGAGAAGGUGUCUCACUGUGUUAGCCAGGAUGGUCUCAACCUCUUGACCUCCUGAUCCACCCACCUCAGACUCCCAAAGUGCUGGAAUUACAGGCAUGAGCCACCACACCCAGCCCAUUUAGAACUUUUUACUGAGCACCUGCCAUGUGCUCGACACGUGAUAGUUGUAGAGGAUACAGAGACAAAUAGACUUAGUCCCUAAGACUGUGUGAAUGAGCAUGUGUGUAUUACAAAGUAUUGGCAAGAUCUCAGAAACGUGCUUAGAAAAGUGCAGAUGCACUGUUAUUCUUGGCCAAUGCAGCUGAGCCAGGUGUAGGUGGAUGACUACCCCAGGAUGUUGAGCUGAGAAACAGGAUCUCAGCCUGAACCCAAUGUAGCUCAGCAGAUGUUUGAAUUAUGUGAUCUCCAGCUUUUGGGAAAGAUCUGAAUGUAAGAGGAACUUAAGAGAAUUAGCAUGAUAUUUUAAAGAGAAUAACUGCAUUACAUUCUAACAGCAGACCUGAGUCGGAAAACAAGUAAAGAAUCGAUGUAUUGGUUUGCCGAUGGAAGAGCUUCAGUGAGAUCUCAGACCCUGACCCUGCAGUGAGCCUUGGCAAUGAUUGACAGGGAAGUUUGUAGAUAACGCAGAAGUAGAUUAGUGUGCCACUGCUCCAGGCUGAAAAUCAGAAAUGAAAGCUAAAAUACAUUUGUACAUAAGCUAUACCUUCAAUUGAUAGAGCAAGCUGUGUGACUCAAAACAGCCUGUACAGAAGUACGAUGGACCAGCUGGAAGGUAUCAAUAGAAGAUAAGGAAAAGUUAACUCUUGACACCAGGGAAGUCAACAAAUUUCAGGACAACAGUGACCAAUGGUUAAGAUGGUGACUAAGUGUAAUCAGAAAAAAAUCUUUAACUCCAAGUUUAGACUAGCCAGUUUGUUUAAUUGGAUUUCUCUGGUCAAAACCUAAACUAUUGGUGCUUUCUAACCUGUGGGGAUCAGUGUGCAUAGACCAUUUUGCCCUCGAUUUCAGCAUAACAUAGUAAAAAGACUGGGUUUUAGAUUCAAAAGUCAUGGGUUUGUGAUACAGUGUACUUACUGAUUAUGUGACGUCAGUUACUUCUCUGAACCUCUUUCCUUCUCUAUAAAAUCAUAAUGCUUCACUGGAUUAAUGAAAUAAGAUAUUUGUGAAAAGAACUCUGUAAAUUAUAAAAAGUUAAAAACUUUUACAUAUAGCACAUUAUGUGACUAGUAAGUACUGCUGUGUCUUACUAGCGCAAUUUUCUGUGGCAGCAUUGACACGUAUCUCCUAAAAAUAUAAAGUUCCCCACGUUUACAAGCAGCAUGAUAGGUUCAGGAAGAGGAGGUAGAUGAGAGGUAACAUCUUAUUAUUUAUGUAAUUAUGGGCUCCAUAAGUUUAUUUUUUAAGCACCAUAUAUGUGUGUGUUUCAAAAUAAACAUAAGGCAUCAUAUAUUUAAACAUAUAUAACCAUAAUGCUUGUAUUUAUAAAUCAUUUUCCAAGAAAGAAUAAAUCAAAAUUUGAAAUUC
rnacentral:lncRNA from 1 species